rnacentral:lncRNA from 1 species
UGUCAGCAAUUCGUCGUUGCUGCUGAGUUCUGACGAAGCAUCGCCGAAGAAAUUUCGUUACUUUCCAACCACCUGGCGACUUCCGGUGGCAUCUGCGGUCGGACAUGAGAUUUUACCUGAGUUACACCCGCCUCCACGUUACCGUUCUGCUUGACGCCUCGUUCCAUAAGGGAACCGAUCACAGCCUCAGCGCUACAAUCCAAAAGCCUUUGUCUGCACAUCGCGAUGGCCCUGACGAAUCCGUCGCUGGGAGUGAUGAACCGAUGUUCCAUGAAUACGGACUUCUCAUCCCAAUAUAUUAUCUGCAAGGAAACAUGCCACGAAAACAUCGAAUGGUUAAAUAGGCAAAGUUACUUGUAACAACCUUAUGGGCGCAAUUAACUCUUCUCCUUUAUAAUGGAAAAGUGUAACCGGUUUUGAUUUGAUAUUCCACUUGCACCAUGAUAAAAGUGAUAGCGAGAAUACAUUUUGGAUACAAUGCGUCAUAUGAUCAUCGGAGUGCAUACAAAACUAUAGUGGCGAACACUUGGACAGCUUCGACUCUCUAAAAUAGUACCAGCAACGAUUUGCACACUAAGUGUCAACAAGUUCGUUUCCUUCUCGGUCUUAUCGGUUUUCCUAGAAGUUAUCGAGAACAAAUGUUGAUAAUCGACCGGAUACCGAGAUCUCUGUGUCGAAAAAUCGUAAAAAUUUUCUAUAGUUUCUCAAGUCGAUCAGACAGAGAAUAACGAACGUGACUCUGUAAUACGAUUUUACGUGAUCAAACUCGCAUACCUUAGAAGUUAUUUUGAAGAUGGACAGAGGUUUCAGAAAGCGGCGAUAACGAAUGGUCGACGCUCCUUGUACAACACCCGAUCCUUGUGAACAGAUCUCGCGAUAGAGGCUUGUCCUUUCGUAAAAAUCCGCCCUGGCGAAGUCGAUCUCGCGAAGAUAUCUCGCAUUGUUCAUAUGAUAAAGUAAUGUGUCCACAUCCGUUGUCGUGCAAAUACCUGCGAAAAGUAAACUAGUACAACUAGAAAAGUAAAUUAAUACAACCAUGAGAGUAAAUAGAAUGAGAUAAACGAUGAUUAUUCUUUUAUUAUGUAUUUUUCAAAGAACAAAAGGUUAAAGUUGAAGUUAAAUAGGAAUUUUCAAAGGUUCAUCUUAUGAAUUGUUUUUGACACGCAAUUGCGAAAUGUACGUUGCGAUUUUUCAUGACGGUCAAGAGAAUUAAAGAUGCAUGAUUUCAACCGAAUAAUGACUAACCGCAAUCGCGUAUCGUGCCUCCGAUUAAAAGAAUACUUGAGAAAAGUUUUCUGAUUUAACUAAUACGAUUAAAAACAAUUAAUUAGAGAUUUAAGAAGGUAAGAUGGAAGAUAUGGAACAGGGAAUGAUGAAAAGGUUGCUUGAGUCGAGUCGUUGCAAGGACAGAUAAAUAAAAGAUCAGUAUUUGCUAGAAUAUAAUAAGCAUAUUAAGUAUCCCGUGUGUUUAAUAUUCUUUGCUUGUUCCGCGUGUCAUGUAAGUCCUGACAAAAGUGUAUGUUCUUUCGUAGGUAAUUUCUGGAAUUCAGACCACCGUGUAUAGGAUGAGAACGCUACUGAAAGAAAAGACGCAUACUGAUAAAACACGUUGCAAAAUUUACGUCGUUUACAUUUCGAUCUGUUGGUCCAGCUUUGUAGAAUUUCGCAGCACAGUACUGCACAAUCAAUACUCGUACGGAUUUGCGACACGAGCAACCGACCGGCCAACUGAUCGCGCAUGGGUUAAGCAGCCAACGUACCGUAAACGGUGGUCUCAUCGAGGAUAUGGACCUUCUUCUUGCAGAAACGUGCAAGGAACACGGUCAAGCACAUACGCAA